GAUCGCAUUACAAAUGCAGUGUAUAUCAAAAACGAUGGAGGAUACGUAGAAACUACAAACGAAUACGAAGAGAUCAACGAUAUUGCUGUACAACGAGAAUCCAACGGAUAUUUGAUCCCGCAUUCUUUAAUGCUUAAUAGUUAUAAUAUCAACGUAAAUGAUAA